GACGAACGCUGGCGGUGUGCUUAACACAUGCCAGUCGAACGGUAAGGCCCUUUCGGGGGUACACGAGUGGCGAACGGGUGAGUAACACGUGAGUAACCUGCCCUCAUCUCUGGGAUAACAGUCGGAAACGGUUGCUAAUACUGGAUAUGAGCUUGCAAGGCAUCUUGUGGGUUGGAAAGAUUUUUUUUGGUUGGGGAUGGACUCGCGGCCUAUCAGCUUGUUGGUGAGGUAGUGGUUCACCAAGGCUUCGACGGGUAGCCGGCCUGAGAGGGCGACCGGCCACAUUGGGACUGAGAUACGGCCCAAACUCCUACGGGAGGCAGCAGUGGGGAAUAUUGCACAAUGGACGGAAGUCUGAUGCAGCAACGCCGCGUGCGGGAUGACGGCCUUCGGGUUGUAAACCGCUUUCAAUUGUGACGAAGCUUUUUUGUGACGGUAGCAGUAGAAGAAGCACCGGCUAACUACGUG
rnacentral:rRNA from 1 species